GUGCUCAUUUUGGCAGCACAUAUACUAAAUUUGAAAUGAUACAGAGAAGAUUAGUAUGGCCCCUAUGCAAAGAUGGUAAAAAUUCAUGAAGCUUCCGUAGUUUUG
ensembl:snRNA U6 U6 spliceosomal RNA